AUACGUAGGAAGCGAGCGUUAUCCGGAAUUACUGGGCGUAAAGCGCGCGUAGGUGGUCUUUCAAGUCGAAUGUGAAAUUUCCCGGCUUAACCGGGAAGGGUCGUUCGAUACUGUUGGACUAGAGAGCGGCAGGGGGAAGCGGAAUUCCCGGUGUAGUAGUGAAAUGCGUAGAUAUCGGGAGGAACACCAGUGGCGAAGGCGGCUUCCUGGGCUGUUUCUGACACUGAGGCGCGAAAGUGUGGGGAGCGAACAGAAUUAGAUACUCUGGUAGUCCACACUGUAAACGAUGGGUACUAGGUAUAGGGAGUAUCGACCCUCUUUGUGCCGAAGCUAACGCUUUAAGUACCCCGCCUGGGAACUACGGCCGCAAGGCUAAAACUCAAAUGAAUUGACGGGG
rnacentral:rRNA from 1 species